UACGAAGGGGGCUAGCGUUGCUCGGAAUUACUGGGCGUAAAGCGCACGUAGGCGGCUCUUUAAGUCGGGGGUGAAAUCCUGGAGCUCAACUCCAGAACUGCCUUCGAUACUGUAGAGCUUGAGUUCGGGAGAGGUGAGUGGAACUGCGAGUGUAGAGGUGAAAUUCGUAGAUAUUCGCAAGAACACCAGUGGCGAAGGCGGCUCACUGGCCCGGUAUUGACGCUGAGGCGCGAAAGCCAGGGGAGCAAACGGG
rnacentral:rRNA from 1 species